UUCAACCCAUGCCCCAUAGAGGACAGAAAUCCUAAACUUAAAUCCCUAACGCCCCACGCAGCUCAUCUCUCUAGUCUCAACUCUCGUCAGUCACUCUCAGGCCAGCCGGCGCUGCCGCUCAGUUCUCGCUGAGUGCUCGCAGGCGUCGCGCAGCCCGCUACUCACUGGCCAGUGGCCAGUGGCCACUGCCCACUGCUCACGCUCGCGAGUCGCGCCUCGAAGGUACUAGUUUGUUUUCUCUGUGAAUAUACUGAAUUACUAGUUUGUUUUAACCAUUUGGUUCGUAAAUUUUAUUGACUCGAUUAAUUUGAAUUUGAAUUUAAAUUCAUCAGCGGGAUAGGCUGCAGGGAUACAAUGUUCUCCACCUAAAAGUUAUCAAGACUCAAGCUUAUUUGAUAUUUUGUAGUGAAAAUCUUAAUUCCACUGCUAUUUCGCAACUAUUCUUUUUCAUGUUCCAAUUUACUCAGAUUCAUAAUCUUUAUUUUGAUGCUAAAUUAAUAAUGGAAUCUAAUAAACUUGUGGAAAACAACACGAGUAGCACUCUACGAGCUCAGAUUAGAGUUUUUUUUAUUCAUUGAAUGCAACUAUGUGAUUAUUUGUGUGAUCUGUGAACUGUAAAUUGUAAUGUACUGCGUCUUUCUGUAAUUAAGUUGCAACUCUGUUGACAUUUGUGUUAAAUGAGUAUUCAUGAAGUAGUGUUGAGUCAUGAGUGUCUAUCAUCCCUAGAAUCAGUUUUGUUUGAAUAUUUAAGUCAAUGACAUGGUAAGUUGCAAGUUGAAUGCUUGUCGAAAUUUGAAGGCAAAAGCCAAACUGUAUGGCAUAGAUUGCUGGAGUUUGGAGAGUAUAUCGUUGAGUGUUGAUUGUUGUACAGUUAGUGAUCAUUUGAACAGCAGCACAGCCCACAGGUGACGAGGUAUUGAGGUGAAAACUUACCAUUUGCACAAAUUUGAUAUUUGAACAGGUAAAAUUAUGCCCUUUUGAGUUUAGUGAUGGCCUAAUUGGGCAGGCUGCAGGUCACAACUCACAGGUGAAGUUGCAAAUUAUUCCUUUUCUUCUAUUUAUAAGGUGGCUCUGCCCCUGGACAUGAAGAUGCAUGAUAUGAAGUACCCACGUAUAGUGAUGAGUAAACUGCAUUGUAUACCUCCUUCUCUUCCCUUCCUACCCCUAUAGGUGGGGGUGAGAGUUCAUGGUUUAAGCAUAGAGAAAAGAAUAUGUCUACUUGCCGCAAAAGAGUCCUUUAAUGCACAUGCCAUUUUUAUAUAAAAAAUAUAAGAGUUACACAUAACUGCUCCAUGAAAAAGCACAACAAUAGGAUGACCUUAACAAGGCUCAGACUGUGGAGUUCAAUUACUACUACUCUUACCCAUUUUUAGGCGUACGUAUGAAUACACUAACAUUUUAAUUUCAAGUCAAAGAACCUGCUAAAUUCUACCCAAAAAAAAAACAUUUCUCUAAGAUUAUAGGGCUAGGUUUACUUUUUGCAAGAAGGAAAGAGAAGAAUUUAGAACAAAAAGAGAGAGUGUGUGCGGUCCUUAGGGUAAGUUUGUUAACAAAGACGGACAAAUACACAGAAGUGUCUUCUCUCUUUCUCUCUCUCGUUCAAAAAGCCAUCAAAACCAUUCCUUCAGCCUCAAUUUUUUUAAUACUAAACCAUUCUUCAAAAAAGUUCCUAAAACAAAUCUUCCAAAACAGAAAAGCACACACAUCAAUUGUUUUCAAAACAGUGUUUUUCAUAUCCAAAUGCCAUAUUUAUCUAUCUUUCAAAUCUAAAAAACAAAAAAAAGGAUAGUGGCACAUGCAUCACAUGCAUAUACCAAUAUAUACUCUUCUAGGAGAAGGGGGAUGAAAGUAACUACCUUUAUCUUGAUGGCACAAGACCCUUGACGAAAAAUCUGUGGAAGGUCCUUGUAGUUGAUACCAAACUGCUGAAAGAGUAAUUCAGUUUGCUCCUGCUUUUGUGUCCCCUGCUUUUGUCGAACACUAUUAAGCCUCAAGUCUAGGGUUCUUUGAGUCUAACCAUAAAUUUGAAAAAUGAUGUGUUUAAAUGCCUUCAAAAGUAAGUAGAUCCAAAAUAUAAAAAUGCAGUUAAUCCUACCAUGGCCCAAGCUAUUAUUGCAAAAAUUGGUGAAUACAACCAUCAAUCAUUAAAAAUUUCAUCUUUGGAGCAAAACCAAGCAAGAUGAAAAAGUAAUGAGGGUAGAAUUUUUUUUCCCCUUAGAGCACCGUUUUGAUACAAGAAGAGUACCUAAGGGAAAGAAGAUAUAAACAACUAGGGAGGUCAUAAUUCAUCUAUAACGAUAUUGUAAGGAGCACAUCACAUAUAUGAGAAUUGACUGAUUGAAAGCAUAUUAGACAAGGCACACUCGAAAUUCCGAACAGAAGUGGAAAAAGAUUUAAAGAUUGGAAAAUGCUUUUGUACAUUCUUUGAGUACAGAUGGAGCACCCAUAGCCUAGUAGUCAAUGAAGUGGAUUGAGAACCAUGAGGUCUGAGGUUCAAAUCCCAGUAUAUACAAAAACACUAGGUGAUUUCUUCACAUCUGUCCUAGGCUCCUAGCCUUGGUGGGCAGAGUUAAUUGGCUAGUGGGAGGUGACAGGUAUCCCGUGGAAUAGUCGAGGUGCAUGCAAGCUGUUCCAAGGCACCAGGGUUAUCAAAACAAAAAGUACAGAUAGAGAAAAAGAUAUAUAUCUUGUGACUUGACCUAUAACUUAGAAUCUUCAGUCCAAUCCAAAAUUUGGCCCCAAGUUUACCAUUAGUUAGCUUCAAGUUAUGUGGUUCAUCUAAAUCAUAUAUAGCAAGAGUAAAAUUUGGAAAAAUCAGCUUCAUGAUCUAAGUAACACUUCUCAAUCUGUGCAGUGCAGGUAUUGACAUUUUUGAAAGGAGUUCAACACAUAAAUUCCAGGUAACAAACUGUAGACGAGUAAUCCAUAGGAGAUCAUAGAUAUGUAUGCAGAGCUAUCACUCCAGAAACCUUUGCUGGGAGCUUUAAUACUUUUUUCUUCACAUAAUAGUCAUUUUCUAAGACCUUCUCUAAUAAGCAUCUUGCUUUGUGCAAAUGAAGUCACUAAAUGCAUAUAACUGCGUACCUUCUGUAGCUACUAGCAUAUGAAAACCACCUGCUACUAUAUCUGGCAAGUUUGGCCUGGACCAGGACUGACACACUUGGCCUCUGGCCCAGGGAGAUGGUCUGGUUCACGAACCGGACCCUUUCUUAAGAGGCCGGUCUGGGCCAGUAAAUUCUGAAGAGUGGUGGACCUGACACCAACUCCUGAUUCCUAACCACUAUGUGAUCUGGUAGUGGACCAAUCCGAGCUUCUUCUUUUUAACUUCAUUCUACUUUUCUUCUUAUGAUUUUUAACAUUAUAUUUAUUUAGUAUUAACUAAAAUUUGAAAUCGAAAAAGAAUAACAUUGAAGAAAAAAACCGUAAAUACGCAUGUCAUAUUAUUGAGGAAACAAUUCAAUUUUUUAUUCUCAAACUUGAGUUAAUUUCAGCACCUUAAGAAUCUCUUUCGCCUCCUUUUCUAACUUUCCAGAAAACACCAGCUUCCACAAACAAGUAUUGUAUUGAUUGCUUAUAUGACCUGUAAGAAGAACCAAUAUCCUUUAGCAUCAGAUUUUAAGAACUCAACUCCUCCAGUAACAAUUAAUUGGAAAUAUUCAAUACGAGAACUCACAUUCUGUUUGUCUCCAUAGAAGAUAUGCCUGAAGAACCUCCAUUGAUGUAGAUAACUCGUGAAUGGAAUGAUGGAGGCACACUUACCUCUUUUUGAGAAAAGAACUAUUUCCAUUUGGUUACAUAUGUGGAUGAGAAGAAAUACACAAUAAUGGAUAGGAUUUUGCUGCAC
rnacentral:lncRNA from 1 species